CAUGCCCUGAAGCCCUCCUGCGGUCCCUCCCCAGCCCAAAUCAUGGACCCCACUGGUGCACGAAUUUGUACACCGGGCCUCUAGUAUAAUAUUUAUCAUUGUAACACGUGUUUCUGAGAGCUUUAACUACUUCCCUUUUUAAUGAAAUUAUUUGAAUGAUUGUGGCUACAUUUAAUUUGAGUUUGCUGAUAAUUGAAUCUAAAUCCAACAGGAUACAGCAGCAUUAAUUCCAAAGGAGUCUUUAUAUAUGGAGUUGGAGGUAUGUGAAUGCCCCAUCAUUAAAUAGUUUUCAUUCAUUUGUGUGCCACAUUGAAUUAGCAACAUCUCUCAAAGUUUGUCAAUUGGGAAAAAAGUGUUCAAACCUAUUUUUCUUAAGUAAAUCUGGUGAUAUCAUUAAUAAUCUAUGGUUGGUGGAAGGUCUUUUUUGUUUGUUGAAGAUUUAAGCUCUCAAGAGUUUAUUUUAAAGGAACAUAUACUUUGAAUAACAAAUACUGGGCAUGUUUAACUAACCUAGGUGAGAAAACUAUGGUGCUGUUUAAUUGUAAAUAGAUUGACAUAAGAUUGGACCAAUACUUGAUGUGUACAAUUUUAGUAUGUAGGAUUUUGUGCUUUUUUUAAAAAAAAGUUCAAAUUUUCUCUUUGUCUUUGCCUUUUUUCUGUGUGGUUUUUUUUUAUUGUUACUCUCUACAAUAAGGGUAAUUUGCCUCAUUCUAAUAAAACGUCUAAAAAGCUUUUCCUCUUUUUUAAAACUUCAACUCAAUAAAUAACUUCAUUAUCAUCAGACUUAGAA